AUGAACGUUGGCGGCGUGGAUUAGGCAUGCAAGUCGAACGCGAAUUUCCUUUCGGGGAAUAGUAGCGUGGCGAAAGGGGCAGGAAAGCAUAAGAAAUUUACCCUCAGGUCGGGGAUAUACGGUUGAAAAGCCGUGUAAUACUAGACGUUGUCGAGGUGCGGCAUCGCAUUUCGAUGAAAUGAUUUAUCGCCUGGGGAGAAUCUUAUGUCCUAUCAGCUAGUUGGUAAGGUAGUGGCUUACCAAGGCGAUGACGGGUAGGGGGUGUGAGAGCACGACCCUCGCCACUGGCACUGAGACACUGGCCAGACUCCUACGGGAGGCUGCAGUCGAGAAUCUUCGGCAAUGGGCGAAAGCCUGACCGAGCGACGCCGCGUGGAGGAAGAAGGCCUUCGGGUUGUAAACUCCUGUUGGGGGGGACCAAUUCAAUGAGAGAACCCCUGAGGAAGCACGGGCUAAGUUCGU
rnacentral:rRNA from 1 species